CCCAUAUUAGGAUAACCACCAAGAAGCAGGAGAUGAUUUUCACAGCCAUGACAGAUCCAAUCUCGUUGUAUUGAUUCAAAAUACCAAGCGCCCCAUAGACCAUAAGAGUGAAAAGAGUGUGCAUGGGGCAAAUGUAAUAUAGCAUAUAACUGUUGUUAAGCACGAUGCAGCAAAAUAACACCAAGAAAUUAAGCCGCCACAUCAUCUGAAGCAAACCUAGCAAGACUGAAAUCUUUGCGUAUGUAAUAAUAUGAGAAGUUCCCAAAUCCAGUCAUCCACACAUAAGCAGCAAUAAAGAUUCGGAUUGCAUUAUAGAUUUCAGUUGCAGCAAAGUAAUGGUACAUCAAAAACAAUACCUGCAUCCAGCCUUUCCACUCUUCAGUUUGAUGCCUAUUCAAAUAAAGUAUAGGUUUCCCUGAGAAUGGCGACUUAUCAUGAUGUAUCUUGAAAGAAGUUACCGCAGAAACUAUAAUGAGAAGGGAGUAGAGAAACCAGAAAAGAUCCCUAUUAAAACUCUUCUUUGAGGAAUUAAAGAAAUCUGUUCGGUCACAUAGAUAAAAAUACCCCAGAAGGGCACCAAAUUCAGAUAUAGCUCUCAACGUCCACCGGUUAUCAAUCAAGAAUUGCUCGUCCAUAAGAAGGAACCUAAAAAUAGGAGAUGAAGCAGUGGAACUCUUAGCUUUAGGAGAAGCAGACUGAAGACCUCCCCCUUCAAGUAAAACAGCUUUGUCAUCUUCCUUAACAGUGUCAUUUCCCACUUCAGCCAACCCAAUAUCAGAAUGCGCUUUGGAUGCGGCCAGCAUUUUUCUUAUACUCCAAGAACUCUGAAUAUAUCCAGGCAGCAAUUACAGGUACAAUCCCAAGAAAAAAUGAAACCUGACCAGGAGUAAUAGGACUAGAGAUGGCCAUUUUUCAGUGAUUUACGAAGCGAAAUCAAUGAGCAUUUCAAUGCAAGUAUAAUCGAAAACCAGAUCUAAUCGGAAUCUGGUUUCCGCUGAAGAACGAGGGGAUCUAGCGGUUUGCGCGUGUAUAUGUCGGUGAUGAGCUUUCCAUUUAAGGGGUAUUAUCUGCGUUUUAUGAAAGUGGCUCUUUACUAACCUUGCGAUUUG
rnacentral:misc_RNA from 1 species